rnacentral:rRNA from 1 species
AUUGAACGCUGGCGGCAGGCCUAACACAUGCAAGUCGAACGAGUGGCGGACGGGUGAGUAAUGUCUGGGAAACUGCCCGAUGGAGGGGGAUAACUACUGGAAACGGUAGCUAAUACCGCAUACCAUCGGAUGUGCCCAGGUGGGAUUAGCUAGUGGGUGGGGUAACGGCUCACCUGGGCGACACUCCCUAGCUGGUCUGAGAGGAUGACCAGCCAAACUGGAACUGAGACACGGCCCAGACUCCUACGGGAGGCAGCAGUGGGGAAUAUUGCGCAAUGGGCGCAAGCCUGAUGCAGCCAUGCCGCGUGUAUGAAGAAGGCCUUCGGGUUGUAAAGUACUUUCAGCGGGGAGGCGUUACCCACAGAGGAAGCACCGGCUAACUCCGUGCCAGCAGCCGCGGUAAUAC